GCGGCCGUGGCGGAAUUGGUAGACGCGCAGCGUUGAGGUCGCUGUGAGAUAAAACCCGAGGAAGUUCAAGUCUUCUCAGCCGCACCA
rnacentral:tRNA from 1 species